rnacentral:rRNA from 1 species
CGGGUCGUAAAACUCUGUCCUCAAGGAAGAUAAUGACGGUACUUGAGGAGGAAGCCCCGGCUAACUACGUGCCAGCAGCCGCGGUAAUACGUAGGGGGCUAGCGUUAUCCGGAUUUACUGGGCGUAAAGGGUGCGUAGGCGGUCUUUCAAGUCAGGAGUGAAAGGCUACGGCUCAACCGUAGUAAGCUCUUGAAACUGGGAGACUUGAGUGCCGGAGAGGAGAGUGGAAUUCCUAGUGUA